rnacentral:rRNA from 1 species
AUUGAACGCUGGCGGCAUGCUUUACACAUGCAAGUCGAACGGUAACAGGCCUUCGGGUGCUGACGAGUGGCGAACGGGUGAGUAAUGCAUCGGAAAGUGCCCCGAGGUGGGGGAUAACGCAGCGAAAGCUGUGCUCAUACCGCAUGUGAUCUGAGGAUGAAAGCGGGGGACCAGGCAGCAAUGUUUGGCCUCGCGCCUUUGGAGCGGCCGAUGUCCGAUUAGGUAGUUGGUGGGGUAAAGGCCUACCAAGCCGACGAUCUGUAGCUGGUCUGAGAGGACGACCAGCCACACUGGAACUGAGACACGGCCCAGACUCCUACGGGAGGCAGCAGUGGGGAAUUUUGGACAAUGGGCGCAAGCCUGAUCCAGCAAUGCCGCGUGCGGGAAGAAGGCCUUCGGGUUGUAAACCGCUUUUGUACGGAACGAAAAGGCUCUGGCUAAUACCUGGGGCUGAUGACGGUACCGUAAGAAUAAGCACCGGCUAACUACGUG